CUACGGGGGGCAGCAGUGGGGAAUAUUGCACAAUGGGCGCAAGCCUGAUGCAGCAACGCCGCGUGAACGAAGAAGGUUUUCGGAUCGUAAAGUUCUUUUCUUGGGGAAGAAACCAUGACGGUACCCAAGGAAUAAGCACCGGCUAACUACGUGCCAGCAGCCGCGGUAAUACGUAGGGUGCAAGCGUUAUCCGGAAUCACUGGGCGUAAAGGGUGCGUAGGCGGUUUUACAAGUCAGAAGUGAAAGGCAAUGGCUCAACCAUUGUAAGCUUUUGAAACUGUAAGACUUGAAUGCAGGAGAGGUAAGUGGAAUUCCUAGUGUAGCGGUGAAAUGCGUAGAUAUUAGGAGGAACACCAGUGGCGAAGGCGACUUACUGGACUGUUAUUGACGCUGAGGCACGAAAGCGUGGGGAGCGAACAGGAUUAGAUACCCGCGUAGUC
rnacentral:rRNA from 1 species